rnacentral:lncRNA from 1 species
CUGGAAGAAAAAGGAAAGCAGCGGUAAAAGUUUCACGUUUAAUCACUAGAGGAGAUUCGCUGGAGAAUCACCCCAAACUGCUACUGUAAAUACGCAGUCCCUUAAAAUGUGCUUUUCUGUCGGAAAAAUACUCAAAAUCGUCUAAAAGCAAACACAGAUCACCCCACCCUAAUACAUCCAAACGCUCGCGCGCUGGGCGGGUGAAACUCACAGGAGAAAGGAGUUGCUGGAAAACAGCAGGAAGAGCCCCCAAUUCGGAAAAUUACGGAUAGGUGAAUGCGAAAUCACAGUAAACACGAAGAGGCAGCGCCGUGGAGUUGGUGAGGGGGGCGGGGAGGGGGCUGGAGAAGGCAGCAUCUGGGAGUCCUCCUUCCCCUGUCAGUACAGCACCUCCUCCAACCCCUUUCCAGAAGCACUAGGAUGGCUGGCGCGCUGGUUCCUAGGUCGCUGCUGCCCGGUCUGUGCUGACAACAGCCAUGCAAGCUGUGGGGAUGAACGACCCUCUGGCACCUGCAGCACUACAGCUCAGACUGACCGCGCUCAGCGGGGGAUCUCAAUAGUAGUAUGGGAAUGACGGUGUGAAGAACCAUAAAGAGAGACAGCUAAAUGAGGAUGCUAAGGAGUCCUCUCAGAGAAGCCUAAUAACCUAAGAACCGGGGCCUGAAAAAGGAGAGAGAGAGAGAGAGAGAGAGAGAGAGAGAGAGAGAGAGAGAGAGAGAGAGAGAGAGAAUCCAAAACCAAAGCUACAGUCUCACAGCAGCUACCUGCUGCUGCUGCUGAAUAGGUCCACGUGGGUGUGAGGGUGUCUGCUGAGUGCAUUGAAGGCAGGUGAUGAGGUCCACCGGUUCCCAUAUUGGAGCUGGAGAGGGUGGCAUGAGGCACGCAUGGUGCAGAAUGGGUGACUCUAGUCUACGAGGGGAUCAACACUGAAAUUCAAGCGUCUAGUUCCUGGAUAUUCAGGACUGCAAGUCUUGAAUGGUGGAGUAAAGGAACAUAACAGCCCUUAUAGACUAGGUAAGGAGAAAAGAGAGUGAGAGAAUUUGGCAUAGAGGAAGAGGAAGAAGGAAAGAGGGGGAGAGAGAGAGAGAGAGAGAGAGAGAGAGAGAGAGAGAGAGAGAGAUUAUGAAUCACAGGAGAGAGUACUAUUUCUUCUCCAGCAAGCCAAUUUCUUUUGAAGUCAGGCCUGUAAGAGGAGCUAUGAGCCUGAAAAAAACGGGAAAGCUGGAAAGCUGUGUCUGUGGCUGCUGCUGAGCUGGGCUCAGAGAUCAAAAAUAUCGAAAUUUGGACUCAAACAAUGUAGAAGCUGGAGAAUGUGGAGAAGUAUUGUGUAAUACUGUCAUCUGGACAGGGCUUGGACAUUAGAAAAUGGCUUCAGAGUAGCUGUGGCUAUCCACACAAGACCUGCAGAAGCUGAGCUGGUUAAAAGUCCAACAUGAAGGGGCAAGUGAAAUCAUUAGCAGUUGACUGCUACUGAGUUCAGAAGAGUUACUUUGUUUUUUGUUUGUUUGUUUGUUUGAGAGUGUCAUAGCCAGUAGGUUCACCAUAGUCCCACAGAUGACCCGAUAUGACGGGCAUAUGAGCAGCACUCACUGGAUACAGUGGGUUAAGUUUGUUGAAGCCAUAUCCAUGAUUACAAAAGGAGAACAUGACCUUGGGAGGAAGAUGAGAUGUUUUCUGGUCCCUCUAGUGAUGGAGAUUUACAAAGAAAGAAGGAAGGCCUGCAACACACACUAACACGUACAGGGAUGUGAUGCUUGCAGUCCAGGAAAAAAAGCUGAAUGAGGAAAACGCUAUGUUUCUCUCCUAAGACACAUUCCAAGACAUCAUCCUCUGAAUGCAAGCUGAGAACAAGCUAAAAGGUG